rnacentral:tRNA from 1 species
GGCGGGAUAGCUCAGUCGGUCAGAGCGAGCGGCUCAUAAUCGCUAGGUCGCGGGUUCAAGUCCCGCUCCCGCUACCA